UACGUAGGGUGCAAGCGUUGUCCGGAAUUAUUGGGCGUAAAGAGCUCGUAGGCGGCUUGUCGCGUCGAAUGUGAAAACCUGCAGCUCAACUGCAGGCUUGCAUUCGAUACGGGCAGGCUCGAGUUCGGUAGGGGAGACUGGAAUUCAUGGUGUAGCAGUGAAAUGCGUAGAGAUCAUGAGGAAGACCAGUGGCGAAGGCGGGUCUCUGGACAGUUCCUGACACUGAGACACGAAGGCCAGGGGAGCAAACGGG
rnacentral:rRNA from 1 species